rnacentral:misc_RNA from 1 species
AACGCACAUUGCGCCCUCUGGUAUUCCGGAGGGCAUGCCUGUUUGAGUGUCAUUAAUCUCUCCCGUCGACGGUCCCUAGUGGACGGCCGAUGUCGGUGUUGGGAUCUGCGGGUGGUCACCUCGACCGCGCGCUCUCCUCAAAUGCAUUGGUGUGGCCCGCCGCCCGGUCCCACAACGUUCUAGGUACGUCCAACUCGUUGUAUGUCCGGCGCAUAUCCUGGCGCUGCACCUAAAGCCCGGCCGGUGCAUCUCUGCUCCGUGCCAACAACCUCAUUUAUUGACCUCAGAUCAGGUAGGAAUACGCGCUGAACUUAA